rnacentral:lncRNA from 1 species
AGUCCUAUUCUGAUUGGAUCAAGAUCAAAUUUUUCUUGUAAUCUGACUUGACCAAAUCAAAUUCGAUCUAAGUCAAACUGAAUCUAAUUUAAUUAGAAUUAAUCCAAAGCUCUUUGCUCAAUCAAAUUGAGUCAAUUAGUAAUCUAAUUACUAAUUAAUUCUUCAUUAAUAGUAGAGUCUCAGUCCAGUGAGACUCUCCUCCAGAGUUCUAGUCCCAGUGGGACUCCUCACCAGAGUCACAAUCCAAUUAGACUCUUCAACCAUCAGAUCUAUCCAAAUCUUCUAAUAUGUGUGAUCCUAUAGAUUCGAACCUAAGUCGGUAGCAUAGGAAUAACUUCUCAUACUAAUCGAUGUAACCAUCUAGUAAUGAAACCCGAUGUCUGGAUAGGUCGAAAGAUUGCAAAGCAAUAUUCUAGGAUC